GAUGAAGAACGCAGCAAAAUGCGAUAAGUAUUGUGAAUUGCAGAAUUCAGUGAAUCAUCGAAUCUUUGAACGCACAUUGCGCCCGCUGGUAUUCCGGCGGGCAUGCCUGUUCGAGCGUCAUUUCAACCCUCAAGCCCCCGGGUUUGGUGUUGGGGAUCGGCUCUGCCCUUCUGGGCGGUGCCGCCCCCGAAAUACAUUGGCGGUCUCGCUGCAGCCUCCAUUGCGUAGUAGCUAACACCUCGCAACUGGAACGCGGCGCGGCCAUGCCGUAAAACCCCAACUUCUGAAUGUUGACCUCGGAUCAGGUAGGAAUACCCGCUGAACUUAAGCAUAUCAAUAAGCGGAGGA
rnacentral:misc_RNA from 1 species